GAACGCUAGCUACAGGCUUAACACAUGCAAGUCGAGGGGCAGCAUUUCAGUUUGCUUGCAAACUGGAGAUGGCGACCGGCGCACGGGUGAGUAACACGUAUCCAACCUGCCGAUAACUCGGGGAUAGCCUUUCGAAAGAAAGAUUAAUACCCGAUGGUAUAAUCAGACCGCAUGGUCUUGUUAUUAAAGAAUUUCGGUUAUCGAUGGGGAUGCGUUCCAUUAGGCAGUUGGUGAGGUAACGGCUCACCAAACCUUCGAUGGAUAGGGGUUCUGAGAGGAAGGUCCCCCACAUUGGAACUGAGACACGGUCCAAACUCCUACGGGAGGCAGCAGUGAGGGAUAUUGGUCAAUGGGCGCAGGCCUGAACCAGCCAAGUAGCGUGAAGGAUGACUGCCCUAUGGGUUGUAAACUUCUUUUAUAUGGGAAUAAAGUUUUCCACGUGUGGAAUUUUGUAUGUACCAUAUGAAUAAGGAUCGGCUAACUCCGUGCCAGCAGCCGCGGUAAUACGGAGGAUCCGAGCGUUAUCCGGAUUUAUUGGGUUUAAAGGGAGCGUAGGUGGACAGUUAAGUCAGUUGUGAAAGUUUGCGGCUCAACCGUAAAAUUGCAGUUGAUACUGGCUGUCUUGAGUACAGUAGAGGUGGGCGGAAUUCGUGGUGUAGCGGUGAAAUGCUUAGAUAUCACGAAGAACUCCGAUUGCGAAGGCAGCUCACUGGACUGCAACUGACACUGAUGCUCGAAAGUGUGGGUAUCAAACAGGAUUAGAUACCCUGGUAGUCCACACAGUAAACGAUGAAUACUCGCUGUUUGCGAUAUACAGUAAGCGGCCAAGCGAAAGCAUUAAGUAUUCCACCUGGGGAGUACGCCGGCAACGGUGAAACUCAAAGGAAUUGACGGGGGCCCGCACAAGCGGAGGAACAUGUGGUUUAAUUCGAUGAUACGCGAGGAACCUUACCCGGGCUUAAAUUGCAUUUGAAUAAUCUGGAAACAGGUUAGCCGCAAGGCAAAUGUGAAGGUGCUGCAUGGUUGUCGUCAGCUCGUGCCGUGAGGUGUCGGCUUAAGUGCCAUAACGAGCGCAACCCUUAUCUUUAGUUACUAACAGAUCAUGCUGAGGACUCUAGAGAGACUGCCGUCGUAAGAUGUGAGGAAGGUGGGGAUGACGUCAAAUCAGCACGGCCCUUACGUCCGGGGCUACACACGUGUUACAAUGGGGGGUACAGAAGGCAGCUACCUGGUGACAGGAUGCUAAUCCCAAAAGCCUCUCUCAGUUCGGAUCGAAGUCUGCAACCCGACUUCGUGAAGCUGGAUUCGCUAGUAAUCGCGCAUCAGCCAUGGCGCGGUGAAUACGUUCCCGGGCCUUGUACACACCGCCCGUCAAGCCAUGAAAGCCGGGGGUACCUGAAGUACGUAACCGCAAGGAGCGUCCUAGGGUAAAACUAG
rnacentral:rRNA from 1 species